rnacentral:lncRNA from 1 species
GGGGCGUUGCAUUACAAUAACAGGCUCCCUCAAUGUUCCUGCUGGCAUGAUGGCCUUUGCUUCACUGCUUGCCAUUGCGCAUUGAUUAGUUGGAGGUGCGGCUACCCGCAAAGAGGGCGAAGAGCUUGAAAUUGAUGGAGCAGAGGCGGUACUCGGCCACCUUUUCUCCAUCGGGGCAGCAACUUGUGGUUUUCCCCAGUCCGCCUUAGGCUGUAUUUUUCUCAAAGACUGCAAAUUCUUAUUGUCAUGCCUAGUUCUGGUGAGGAAAAUGCUAUAGAUAACUAUGCCAUCUCGUAACAGAUUAAAGUGUUUAGCUGCUUUACAGCUCUCAUCCAAUUGUCCAUAUGAAGUACAAAAAUAUCAACAGACAAAA